UCCCCGGUAGCUCAGCGGUAGAGCAAUCGGCUGUUAACCGAUGGGUCGUAGGUUCGAAUCCUACCCGGGGAGCCA
rnacentral:tRNA from 1 species